CACGGUUAUGUUGAUCAAACCAGACAGCAACACACGAGUAAGUUGUUCCAAGAUCAAUGCCGAUUGGAGUUGAUUUAACUUUCGUUGACAUCUUGGAAUGUGUAGCUUUGGACAAAAACUGUAUUGAACACCUAUCGAACUGCUCCUCGGACCCUUAGAUGGAUGUGAUCCUUGGCACUUGCUAUGGCCAGAAAACUUCGUUGUCUGCUGGAACAACUUGCAAAUUAUAGGAGAAGGUAGAUAUU
rnacentral:lncRNA from 1 species